CAGUAGCCGCGGUAAUACGUAGGUGGCAAGCGUUGUCCGGAAUUAUUGGGCGUAAAGCGCGCGCAGGUGGAUCGGUCAGUCUGUCUUAAAAGUUCGGGGCUUAACCCCGUGAUGGGAUGGAAACUGCCAAUCUAGAGUAUCGGAGAGGAAAGUGGAAUUCCUAGUGUAGCGGUGAAAUGCGUAGAUAUUAGGAAGAACACCAGUGGCGAAGGCGACUUUCUGGACGAAAACUGACGCUGAGGCGCGAAAGCCAGGGGAGCGAACGGGAUUAGAUACCCCAGUAGUCCCUGUCUCUUAUACA
rnacentral:rRNA from 1 species